rnacentral:rRNA from 1 species
CCAGACUCCUACGGGAGGCAGCAGUGGGGAAUAUUGGGCAAUGGGCGCAAGCCUGACCCAGCAACGCCGCGUGAAGGAAGAAGGCCCUCGGGUUGUAAACUUCUUUUAUCAAGGACGAAACAAAUGACAGUACUUGAUGAAUAAGCCACGACUAACUACGUGCCAGCAGCCGCGGUAAUACGUAGGUGGCAAGCGUUAUCCGGAUUUACUGGGUGUAAAGGGCGUGUAGGCGGGAUGGUAAGUCAGAUGUGAAAACUAUGGGCUCAACCCAUAGCCUGCAUUUGAAACUAUCGUUCUUGAGUGUUGGAGAGGCAGGCGGAAUUCCGUGUGUAGCGGUGAAAUGCGUAGAUAUACGGAGGAACACCAGUGGCGAAGGCGGAUUGCUGGACAGUAACUGACGCUGAGGCGCGAAAGCGUGGGGAGCAAACAGGAUUAGAUACCCUCGUAU